CCUGCAGUGGAAUUAUGAACACAGUGAAUGAGAUGUGGGAGAGAGAGAGAGAGAGGGAGAGAGAGGUGGAAUACAAAGGAAUAAUCAGGCCCCGACCAUGCUGCAUUUCCAUUUCCAUGGGACAUAAAGGGCUUCUAUCCACGGCUUAAUCAUUAACCCGCAUUUCUGCACAUUUUGGCGAAAAAAAGGAGACAGCAGUGCGUUUUCAUUUUCUGCGCCAGAUUUGAAGCUGUCAGCGGAUUUAUGGCUUGACACGGCCGUGCUCUGGAAGACAACCCCUACGCCAGCUUUUGCCACCGCACCUGAACUUUUCCCUGACCCAGGACAGAGGAAUGGAGUCUUGAGUGGAAAGUUAUUUGGAGUUCAAAAACAAGGAGAAGUUGGAAAUCAAAAGUCCUCAGCUGGUACCCUACUGAUUUCACUUUUUUUUUCUAACCUACUACUUUCCAGAUUUGCAUUUUGCUCGGGAGAAGAAGAAGAAGCAGAAGAAAACAAAGCACAAAGAAAGCAGUUAAAACUUUCUCCUUGAGCCAAAAGUAGCUGAUUGAUUACGUUUUAAAUCUCGGGCUGUUUUCGCAUUAAACAACUGUAUCAGAUGUAUUUACACAAAUCAAGGCUCCUUAUCACUGUCAGCGAAGAGGAGUUAGAGGCAGAGACCUCUGGAUAUUAGCCAGACGGCGGUCCAUAUCUUCCCACAAUGUUGACACUGGGAGCUCUUAACAGCCAGGCUUGGGUUACCGACACUCUCAGACCAAGAUAACUCUUUCUGCGAGGUUUACACAGCCCAACAUCAAGGCUAAAGCAAAAUUCAACGCCUGAAGCUGAGGGGAGCCACCCUGAUGAGCCCACACCGAGACUGUGGCGGAUUAGGACGACUGACAUGUUUUUGCAUAAGAUUGUUGUAAUAAAGAUAUUUUAAUUUA